GCCACAGGCUUAUUCCUGGCUUUCUUCCAAGGAGCUGGAACACUGGCUUCCCCAGGCAGUCGGCUGCAGCCGUCCUGAGAAGUGGGGUGUGGGGCCCUGCGUGCUGAAGGCCCAGAGCUCCCCCCGCGCCCUGGUCUCGUUCCUGGCUUGGCUCUGGCUCCCAUGACUCCAGGGUCUGCUCCAAUUUAGAGUCCCCCAGGACCUUAUUUCCAACAGGAUGGACAAGCAAAGGCAAGGAGUGGCUUCGUCAGGGCGCAAGGUGAGGAAGCAAUCCUGGCCACCAGCAUGGAGGGAGCACCCCGGCGUGUGGGAGCACGAGAGAGGUCAGGCAGCGCCACUUCUUGCUGUGAGUCCAGGGAUGUGAACGGAGCCAGAAGCAAAAAGGAAGCAGCGGUCUGUGAUGGGCCAGCAGUCCAAGGAAAACAGGUUUUGGCUCAGCCCUGUCCAUGAGCUCAGUGUUGAACGGACUCCACUGAACUGAGAGCGAGCUGGAACCAGACGCCAAGGCGUCUCAGCAGAGAGGCUGCACCCGGCUUCUGGCCAUCGGGAAUGGAGACCACUGGAGCGGGGGCCGCGGGGCCGGCUGGCCAGGUGUGCCUGGCACAGGUUCCCACCUGAAGCCAGAGGCUCAUCGCCACGUGGCAGCCAAGGCCUCAGAAACACACAGCCACGCUGUGUGUUCCAGACAAUUCUAUCCAAGCCCAAAGGCGCCCGGAGGGGUCCAGCAGAAGGGGCUGCACACAUCCUCCCUGGAAAGGGCCUACCUCGGGGCCCAGGAACAGCCACCAGAAAUGGUGGCCUGCCAGCCCUGGUGGGCCGCUUGGCGGAGAGAGAUGCCGGGCUCCCCAGGGACCCCGGGGACCCCCUGGUGAGCUCCGCGUACCACAGGUCUCAGCGUUCUCGUAGAGAAACAUUUUCUGCUUGGUAACGUGUGUUACGCACACUUUCUACUUGAAACUGUACCAAGCCCAGAAUAAAUAAAAAACACAAUUCGAGCUAAUUACACUGAAUUUUGAAUUAUUUCCCCAGCUCUUUCCGGUCUGUAGUGUGAAACUGUUUCAUGUGGUAAAACACUCGAAUGUGUAACGGGCUCUAAGGCCUGUAGUAAUGGAUUCAAGAUACUGUACUUGUCACCUAUACAGAGAUACAACUCUUCUGGCGCUGCGGCCUAGACGGUUAAGUCUCCACCAGCAGCGCCGGCAUCCCAUAUGGGCACCAGUUCCCCGGCUGCUCCCCUUCCGAUCCAGCUCUCCGCUGUGGCCUGGGAAAGCAGCAGAGGAUGGCCAAGUCCUUGGGCCCCUGCACCUGCGUGGGAGACCUGGAGGAGGCUCCAGGCUUCAGAUGGGCCCAGCCCUGGCUUUUGUGGCCAUCUGGGGAGUGAACCAGUGGAUGGAAGAUUCUCUCUCUCUCCCUGCCACUCCUUCUCUGUAGCUGACUUUCAAAUAAAUAAAUCUGAGAGAGAGAGAGGCGCCCAUGCUUUGGGAAUGGCACGGUUAUUCACGGUCUGCGACUUCUUCAUUUAAUGUUCUGUCCGUGCGGGCUGAGAAAACGUCCGCUUCAGACGAUACCACGACGGGCGCAGGCCCCCGGCUGCUGGACCCGCAGGCCAGGGAAGGCCACGGCGGGCGGCUGAGGCGACGCUGGGGCUGCGGUCUGCGCUCGGUACUGGCCCGCACGCCGGGCUGCGGGGUGAGGAGGACGCGGAGCCGGCGCCCGGGCUGCUGCUGCCGGGCUGGCCGGUCCGGCCGGAGCGCUGCCCGCCGGGCUAAAGCCAGAGGGGCUU